rnacentral:lncRNA from 1 species
UAUCUUGAAAGUGAUUUAACACUAAGAAUUUUAACAGUGAUUGUUUUCUGAAUUUCUGGCUAGGUGUUCAACAUUCUGAGGCCAGGAACUGUUUCUGAAACACUCUACAGAGCUCAUAGAUGGGAGAAGUCUGGUGAGCACCCAGGGGAUCUAACUAGCAAGUGGGUUGAGUGAAAAACCUGCUUCAUAUGCUAAUCUGAGAAUUAGCACAGAGAGGCUAGACAGAAGUCCUACCCAACA